UUACGGUCAAAUCACGCUGAAAACACCGGUUCUCGUUCGAUCACCGAAGUUAAGCAUCGUAGAGCCAGGUCCAGUACUUAGAUGGGGACCGCUUGGGAACACCUGGUACUGUAAG
rnacentral:rRNA from 1 species